rnacentral:rRNA from 1 species
CGCCAGACUCCUACGGGAGGCAGCAGUGGGGAAUAUUGCACAAUGGGGGAAACCCUGAUGCAGCGACGCCGCGUGAGUGAAGAAGUAUUUCGGUACGUAAAGCUCUAUCAGCAGGGAAGAAAAAAAGUCCUUUGGACUUUGGACGGUACCUGACCAAGAAGCCCCGGCUAACUACGUGCCAGCAGCCGCGGUAAUACGUAGGGGGCAAGCGUUAUCCGGAUUUACUGGGUGUAAAGGGAGCGUAGACGGUUAUGUAAGUCUGGAGUGGAAGCCCGGGGCCCAACCCCGGGACUGCUUUGGAAACUGUGUAACUGGAGUACAGGAGGGGCAGGCGGAAUUCCUGGUGUAGCGGUGAAAUGCGUAGAUAUCAGGAGGAACACCGGCGGCGAAGGCGGCCUGCUGGACUGAAACUGACGUUGAGGCUCGAAAGCGUGGGGAGCAAACAGGAUUAGAUACCCCUGUAUAG